rnacentral:lncRNA from 1 species
GAACCGCUGACGAGCCGCGGGGCGGGGAGGCGGCUCCGGAGGACAAAAGCGCGGCCGCGCCCAGCCCGCCCCUCGCCGCGCACCUGCAGCCCGCCCGGUGCAGCGGCGGCGGCGCCUCGAGGGUCCCCUCGCACCGUGCCCGCCGUGCGGUCGGGCUGGGUCGGCCGCACGGGGCGGAAGCGGCAGAGGGGCGAUGAGAGGCCCGUUCCGAGGCCCGGCUGGGGAGGUGGCGUAGAGGCUGCCGCUCCCCCCGGCGUUCAGACCAACGGAGGAGGUGAAAGCGGAAGGUGAAAGAGUUUCUUCUCUGAAGAUCAUUCUUGAACUUUGGUAAACAUGAGCUAGGCCAGCAGUCCUGUUUGUCUCCUGACCUGCAUCUUCCUUAGCUGACUGCAUCAUCAUUAUGAAUCACCUGCUCUGCUAGCAUUUCCCUGAUUAAUGAUUUAAUCUGCUUUACCAUAUUGGAACUAUUUACCACUUCUG